AUGCAGAACCCACCCCCACGCACCUCCUCGCCCACCUCGCCCCGCUCGCCCGCCUCGCCCCGCCGCCUGCGCCGCCCCCUCGCCCCGCGUGCCCACGCCGCCCCCUCGCCGCGCCCGCCCGCGCCGCCCAGGCCGCCCCCUCGCCCCGCCAACGCCGAUCCAGCGGAAGCUGGCAGUGCUGGCCUACCCGAGUGGCAGUCGCACCUCUUCGCCGGCGUCGAGCGCUACCGCCUCCUCGAGUGGCUCUUCUUCUGUGCUGCUGCCGCUGUGGUCCGGAGGCUAUUGGGCGACAGAUCGCCCUUCGCGCAGCAUAACUGGUAGGGGGACAUCCUCGACCGCAACGAGGAGAACAGCAGGAUCCAACACUUGGCGGAGAUCGCGAAUUUCCUCGGUAUCACGCCUUCAGUCGACACUGAGGCGAUUCAGGGCAGGGGCACCUACGACGAGCGGGUGGAGCUCCUCCGUCUAAUUGUUGACUUGGUGGAAGCUAGCUGCUAUGCCGACAAUCCAGAGUGGAGUGUUGAUGAGCAGUUGGCAAAGGAUGUACAACUUGUAGAUUCCAUUGUUGAGAAACAGGCGCCGCCCGCUCGCCCUCACCCCGUGCGCCCCGCCCAUGCCGUCCGCUCGCCUCGCUCGCCCCUACACCUCUCGCGGCCGGUGGGCGCCUCCUCCUGCCCGAGCUGCAGCAGCCCGCGGCUCGUCCGCCCCCACCUCCGGACAGCCUCCACCGGUGUCUCCUCCUCGCCCAGCCGCAGCGGACCGCCGCACCUUCGCCCUCCUCCUCCGAAGGACCAUCAUCGACGCACGAGCACAAGGUGAUACAGGAACAGGUGUGUUGAUUAUACCAGACAGAAGGAAAUCGAUAAAUGAGUAAGGCUGAGAACAUGUUCUCGCUUCUUAGUCUGGAUGACGAAGAUGAUGGAGGGAAUGAUAGCCAAGUGACCCAAACAUAUUCUACCAGCGUAGAAGAAACGGAUGCGAGCAAACCUGACGUGCGUUGCACGUGCUCAAUUACUCUCAGGUAAACAAGGGCAAUCUAGAGGGAGGCAGUUACUCUACUGAAGAAGACUCAAAACGUGUUGCUGGGAAUAAAGACAAAAAUCUACAAACGCAGCUGGAGAUCUCGACAGCAUCAGAGAAGCUCGUUGAGUGUCAAGAGACAAUCCUAAGCCUGGGAAAGAAACUAAAAGCACUUGCAUCGCCAAAGGAUGCCACCUCGGUCCGUCCAGAGCGAAAACCUCGGUCUCAUUCACUGAAUGAGAUGCUAGACGUCGAUGACGGGGGAUUUGAUGACCUCAGCUCCCCGAAGACCAAGGAGAUUAUAUGCUCAGAAAUAAGGCCACCACAUGAAAGAAGAUUUUCUUCCGACGAGGGAGGUGACAAUUCAGUAUCGUAUUAUUCUCACCAACACCAGUGGUUCCACCCGCCAAACCUUACGAUGUGAGCGGAAGCUGCAAGAAAAAGAAGCUGCUGCCAAGGCCGUAUCACUGGCCGUUGUCCCAAGCAAGCAGAAGGGGAACCCCAACUUGCUCAAGAGGAUCCUGACAGGAAGGAGAAGGGAUGCCAUAAUAAAACCAAAGGUGGUCCUGAGUGCUUAGCUAACAGAGACAAGGGUAACUCUAUCCAUGAUAAAUUCCAUUUCCAUGUGUAAAUUAAGCGUGUAUCGGUUGCUUUGGUGAGGUGUGUUCUUGUCAGGUCUAGGAAGAACGAUGGAGUGUAGAUGACGUAUAUGUAUUACAGUAUUAUUAGUGUGAUUUCUAGCGUUGUGGCCAUCAUUACCCUGUUGCUUAGGUCUAUGAACUUGCAUUUGCAGCUUGCUAUUAUGUGCAUCCUUUGAGGAAGGAUUCUUGUUUUGAA